UAAACACGUGCGUGUAUCCUCCCUCCCUCUCUCCCUCCAUCCAGAAUGGUGUGAUGAAUCCUAUCCCAUCACCACUUCCAAAACUACAACAUAAUAAUAAGCCACGUCGGACGGCUCCUUUCUCUUCUCUUCUCUUCUCCCUCACACACACACACACAUUCAAUGUCGAUCCUCCCUCCUUCCUCCACCACCCUCUCCUUCUGCACCAUCAACCCCAGGGUUUACCUUCAUUCCUCUCAUGCUCGCUCGCUUUUCUGCCGCUUUCCGGUGCUUUCUUCAGCAGCCGGAGGAAGCAUGGUCAACUCUUCAUCGUCCUCAAUUCUACCGCCCCUCCUUGUUUCUACCGAAGUUCGGCAGUCUCCUACAUUUCUAGAUGCUCGUUCUCAACAAGAUCUGCUUUCUGGAAUUCAAAAGGAGAUGGAGACUGGAACUCUGCCAAAACCUGUUGCUCAAUUGAUGGAGGAGCUGUAUCUGAAUUACAGAAACGCAGUAAAUUGUUUUUAUUGGGCUCAUUUAGUUGUUCCGUUUUCCAAAGUGGAAAUCCUCACGCAGAAGAAAUUGUCCUGUCAAACAUGAGUGUAGCAUUGGAUCGUAUUUUGUUGGAUGUGAAGGAACCGUUUGAAUUCUCACCAUAUCAUGAGGCUAUCCGAGAACCUUUUAACUACUAUAUGUUUGUUCAAAAUUACAUCCGUCCUUUAAUCAACUUCAGGGAGUCAUAUGUUGGCAACGUUUCUCUUUUCCACGAGAUGGAAGAACAACUCAAGAAGGGCGAAAACGUGAUUUUGAUCUCAAACCACCAAACUGAAGCAGAUCCAGUUAUCAUUUCCUUGCUGCUUGAAACCACAAGUCCUCAUAUUUCUGAAACUGCAAUCUAUGUGGCAGGUGAUAGAGUUGUUACAGAUCCCCUUUGCAAGCCCUUCAGCAUGGGCAGGAAUUUGUUAUGUGUGUAUUCAAAAAAACAUAUGAAUGACGUUCCUGAGCUUGCUGAGAUGAAAAGGAGAGCAAACACAAGAAGUUUAAAGGAGAUGGCUUUGCUUUUGAGGGGUGGAUCUAAGCUAAUAUGGAUUGCAGCAAGUGGCGGCAGGGACAGGCCCGAUCCAAUCACAAAUCAGUGGUCUCCGGCGCCAUUUGAUGCCUCUGCCGUGGACAACAUGAGAAGACUUGUGGAGCAUGCUGGUGUGCCGGGCCAUAUAUAUCCUCUAUCCCUAUUAUGUUAUGACAUCAUGCCCCCUCCUCCCCAGGUUGAGAUAGAAAUUGGAGAGAGACGGGUGAUCUCGUUUCAUGGCGCCGGAUUAUCAGUCGCUCCCAAAAUCGAUUUCAACGAAAUUACCGCCUCCUGUGGAGGCCCUGACGAGGCCAAGGAAGCUUAUUCACGAGCACUUUAUGAUUCUGUCUGUCGGCAAUAUAACGUGUUAAAAACCGCCAUACAUGGAGCACAAGGCUCAGACGCAUCAACCACAAGUGUCUCACUGACUCAACCCUGGCAAUUACUCAACUAGAUUGCACUUUCACUUGUGGCAAAAUGGCAUGACAGAAGAAUGUAUUUCUAUGGUGUUGUUUCAAAUGCAGGUGUAUAUAAUCUACAGAAGAAGCAGGUGAAAGCAAUACAGGUUUCCAUCAUCUUUAAGAUUAUAAACAUGGUUGGUUAUAAAGGUAGCUCUGAAUUUUAGAUGUGUUCCUUUUCCCCUCUCUCACACGCCGGUUAGCACAUUGUCAUGGACAGAUUGGUGUAAUUUCUCUUAGUUGCAAGUUCAAGUAUAUUUGUUCUUUGUUGAUGUUAGUUUCAUCAUUCUGACCAUUGAAUCCUGAGAAACACAUGUACUUGUUGCAUUAAAGGGCGAUACAUGAGAUGAUUAUGUAACCGCCUAACUACCCCUUUCUCUCUCUGACUACAU